AGUAACCUGCCCUUGACUCUGGGAUAAGCCUGGGAAACUGGGUCUAAUACCGGAUAUGACUGUCUGACGCAUGUCAGGUGGUGGAAAGCUUUUGUGGUUUUGGAUGGACUCGCGGCCUAUCAGCUUGUUGGUGGGGUAAUGGCCUACCAAGGCGACGACGGGUAGCCGGCCUGAGAGGGUGACCGGCCACACUGGGACUGAGACACGGCCCAGACUCCUACGGGAGGCAGCAGUGGGGAAUAUUGCACAAUGGGCGCAAGCCUGAUGCAGCGACGCCGCGUGAGGGAUGACGGCCUUCGGGUUGUAAACCUCUUUCAGUAGGGAAGAAGCGAAAGUGACGGUACCUGCAGAAGAAGCGCCGGCUAACUACGUGCCAGCAGCCGCGGUAAUACGUAGGGCGCAAGCGUUAUCCGGAAUUAUUGGGCGUAAAGAGCUCGUAGGCGGUUUGUCGCGUCUGCUGUGAAAGACCGGGGCUCAACUCCGGUUCUGCAGUGGGUACGGGCAGACUAGAGUGAUGUAGGGGAGACUGGAAUUCCUGGUGUAGCGGUGAAAUGCGCAGAUAUCAGGAGGAACACCGAUGGCGAAGGCAGGUCUCUGGGCAUUAACUGACGCUGAGGAGCGAAAGCAUGGGGAGCGAACAGGAUUAGAUACCCUGGUAGUCCAUGCCGUAAACGUUGGGCACUAGGUGUGGGGGACAUUCCACGUUUUCCGCGCCGUAGCUAACGCAUUAAGUGCCCCGCCUGGGGAGUACGGCCGCAAGGCUAAAACUCAAAGGAAUUGACGGGGGCCCGCACAAGCGGCGGAGCAUGCGGAUUAAUUCGAUGCAACGCGAAGAACCUUACCAAGGCUUGACAUGAACCGGUAAUACCUGGAAACAGGUGCCCCGCUUGCGGUCGGUUUACAGGUGGUGCAUGGUUGUCGUCAGCUCGUGUCGUGAGAUGUUGGGUUAAGUCCCGCAACGAGCGCAACCCUCGUUCUAUGUUGCCAGCGCGUUAUGGCGGGGACUCAUAGGAGACUGCCGGGGUCAACUCGGAGGAAGGUGGGGACGACGUCAAAUCAUCAUGCCCCUUAUGUCUUGGGCUUCACGCAUGCUACAAUGGCCGGUACAAAGGGUUGCGAUACUGUGAGGUGGAGCUAAUCCCAAAAAGCCGGUCUCAGUUCGGAUUGGGGUCUGCAACUCGACCCCAUGAAGUCGGAGUCGCUAGUAAUCGCAGAUCAGCAACGCUGCGGUGAAUACGUUCCCGGGCCUU
rnacentral:rRNA from 1 species